rnacentral:pre_miRNA from 1 species
AUUCUACUCCCUCCGUUCCACAAUACAUGCCUUCUAUUUGUCAAAAUAUAUAUGUAUCUACACAUGUUUUAGUAUAUAGGUACAUCCAUUUUUGGACAAAUGGAAGUCAAGUAUUUUGGAACGAAGGGAGUACACA